GGCCAGUUAGCUCAUAGAGAGCAUGAUAUUGAAGCUAUUAAGAAGGUAAAUGCCACUGGACA
rnacentral:tRNA from 1 species